rnacentral:rRNA from 1 species
CGUCCAGACUCCUACGGGAGGCAGCAGUGGGGGAUAUUGCACAAUGGGGGAGACCCUGAUGCAGCGACGCCGCGUGAGUGAAGAAGUAUUUCGGUACGUAAAGCUCUAUCAGCAGGGAAGAAAAAUGACGGUACCUGACUAAGAAGCCCCGGCUAACUACGUGCCAGCAGCCGCGGUAAUACGUAGGGGGCAAGCGUUAUCCGGAUUUACUGGGUGUAAAGGGAGCGUAGACGGCUGUGCAAGUCUGAAGUGAAAUGCCGGGGCCCACCCCCGGGACUGCUUUGGAAACUGUGUAGCUAGAGUGCAGGAGAGGUAAGUGGAAUUCCUAGUGUGGCGGUGAAAUGCGUAGAUAUUAGGAGGAGCACCAGUGGCGAGGGCGGCUUACUGGACUGUAACUGACGUUGAGGCGCGAAGGCGUGGGGAGCAAACAGGAUUAGAUACCCCGGUAAA